rnacentral:rRNA from 1 species
GUGUGGGUCGGCUCGCGGGACCAUCACUCCACUCGAAGUCCAGCAUUGAGUAUGGCUUCACUGGAUUUGGCCCAUAGAGGGUGAGAGGCCCGUACGGGUGGAGGUUCAGACAUGUGCGAUGGUUCACCAGGCCGGCCUCAGAGUCGGGUUGUUUGAGAUUGCAGCCCAAAGAGGGUGGUAAACUCCAUCCAAGGCUAAAUACUGCCACGAGUCCGAUAGCGAACAAGUACCAUGAGGGAAAGUUGAAAAGUACUCUGAAGAGAGAGUAAACAGUACGUGAAGCCGCAUGCAGGUAAACGGGUGGCGUCAAGCUGCGAGCCCGGAGGAUUCAGCUGACUGGGAUGUAGUGUACGCGCGCCUGGUGCGUCGAGAGGCCGGAGUAAGAUGUUUGGCGGUCCACUCCUCUCUCGGGAGUGGGGCGCGAUCGAUGUGCGCUUGCGUAUGUCGGUUGUCGCUAUGCAUGCCGGGUGGGUGCCGGAGCAUGCCGCUCGUCUGUUGGGCCACCUAGUCAGUGCAUUUUCUCCGUGGUGAACACCACGACCGGUGGGACUGCCAGUCUGCUGCGAGCAAGUCGUGUCCUCCUGAUUACCUUGUGUGUUGGGUGGGCGCGAUCGCAGGCGGAAUGGGUGAACGGCGCAGUGGUACCUCGGUGCUGCCGCGUGUUAUCGUGCACUCUCCGUUGUAAGCGGUUAGUGGGUUAGUGCUGUGACUACUUGCCCUCUGAUCGGCGGCUCGUAGUGGUGAAAGUAACUGUGCAGGGCACCGGAGUUCUCCACCUCAUUCAAUAUGGUACUCGGCACGCACGUCAUAGGUGCUGUUGAAUCGGGAUGCGCCGCUGUCCGCCUAGUGUUGGGCCUGACUGUCGUGUUGCCUGCGCAAAGUGGGUCCGGCGGUGGCUUCGAUGCUGGGCAGCUCUGCAGUGUGUUGCGUGUCUCGGGUGUCUGUAGUGCCGGGGGUGAAAUAGUCAGUGGUGCUGUGGUAGACGAGCUACCCGACCCGUCUUGAAACACGGACCAAGGAGUUUAACAUGUGUGCGAGUCAAAGGGUCCUACGAAACCCCUAGGCGCAGUGAAAGUGAAGUUCAUGCUGCACUUCUGCACAUACGCGGUGCAGCGUGGCGAGGUGAGAUCUCGUUGUACUCAUGACACACGCCGUAGACCUCUCUACUGGGCACUAUAACUGGGGCAACGAGCGCAUCACCGGCCCGUCUCAUGAUGUGGUCAUGGGUGUACUUGCGCG